UUCUCCUUUCCAUAUUCUUUUGUUUUUCAUCAUUUUCAAUUCCUCUUUCACAUCAUAGUCGUUCUCAAUAAUUCUUACAAAAUUAUGAAAAUUCUGAGGUUAUCUCAAAAUUCACAAUCACAAUCUAUGUUUACCCUAAAUUUCCUUUAUUUUUUUAGUUUUGUAUUCUUUUCUCCAUUCUCCAUCAUCAAAUCCAUUUCAUUAUCUGCAACCUCCAUCAAUGAACGACUAUGACCAACAAAAAAAGUAACAUCAUCGAUUUCUCCUUUUCGAGACGAAGAAGAAGGAGAUCCUUACUCUCUGCUACCGAACUCCCUCUUCCCUUAAUCUUCCUCUUUUUCUGAUGGAAAGUGAUUGGACGCAUAAGGCUGGGUAUGUGGUGGUUAUGCAAGAAGAUUGGUUGAUGUUUAUGAGCUUUUUUUGAAACUUUGGUCCAUGAGGCUGCGGUGGCCGCCGUGAGCUCCAGUGUCUUGUCUGGCAACUCCAUACUUAUGUCGACUCAUGGAUGUCAAGAAAAGUUUACGAGAAAACACAAAAUAUAUAUCCAUUUGUUCGGCGCUAGGUGGAUACACCUUCAUUUGUUGCACUAUAUCCAUUUGGUCGAUGUUUCAUGGAUACAACUCUACUUCUAAAAAUCAUAGAUGAACACGUACUUGCCGAUUGUCAGCUAUAGGAAUCCGUCCAUUACUCUUCGAAGAUAUGUUAUCCAACUAAUGAAGUAUUCUUUUAUUUGAUUUUGGUGAACAAUGUUUAGAUUUGGUG
rnacentral:misc_RNA from 1 species